GUGGGGAAUCUUCCGCAAUGGACGAAAGUCUGACGGAGCGACGCCGCGUGGGUGAAGAAAUCCCUCGGGAUGUAAAGCCCUGUUGUAUGGGAAGAGCAGAAGACGGUACCAUACGAGGAAGCCCCGGCAAACUACGUGCCAGCAGCCGCGGUAAUACGUAGGGGGCAAGCGUUGUCCGGAAUUACUGGGCGUAAAGCGCACGCAGGCUGAAUUAUAAGUCGGUAGUCAAAUACGGAGGCUCAACUUCCGGAUAUCUAUCGAUACUGUAAAUCUAGAGUAUGUGAGAGGGAAGCGGAAUUCCCGGUGUAGCGGUGAAAGGCGUAGAUAUCGGGAGGAACACCAGUGGCGAAGGCGGCUUCCUGGCACAAUACUGACGCUCAUGUGCGAAAGCUAGGGCAGCGAACGGGAUUAGAUACCCGAGUAGUCC
rnacentral:rRNA from 1 species